UACGGAGGGGGCUAGCGUUGUUCGGAAUUACUGGGCGUAAAGCGCGCGUAGGCGGAUCUGCAAGUCGGGGGUGAAAUCCCGAGGCUCAACCUCGGAACUGCCUUCGAUACUGCGGGUCUCGAGUCCGGGAGAGGUGAGUGGAAUUCCUAGUGUAGAGGUGAAAUUCGUAGAUAUCGGGAGGAACACCAGUGGCGAAGGCGGCGAUCUGGGAAGAUACUGACGCUGAGGUGCGAAAGCGUGGGGAGCAAACAGG
rnacentral:rRNA from 1 species